rnacentral:rRNA from 1 species
AUUGAACGCUGGCGGCAUGCUUUACACAUGCAAGUCGAACGGUAACAGGCCGCAAGGUGCUGACGAGUGGCGAACGGGUGAGUAAUGCAUCGGAACGUGCCCAGUCGUGGGGGAUAACGCAGCGAAAGCUGCGCUAAUACCGCAUACGAUCUAUGGAUGAAAGCGGGGGACCGUAAGGCCUCGCGCGAUUGGAGCGGCCGAUGUCAGAUUAGGUAGUUGGUGGGGUAAAGGCUCACCAAGCCAACGAUCUGUAGCUGGUCUGAGAGGACGACCAGCCGCACUGGGACUGGGACACGGCCCAGACUCCUACGGGAGGCAGCAGUGGGGAAUUUUGGACAAUGGGCGCAAGCCUGUUCCAGCAAUGCCGCGUGCAGGAAGAAGGCCUUCGGGUUGUAAACUGCUUUUGUACGGAACGAAACGGUCCUGGUUAAUACCCGGGGCUAAUGACGGUACCGUAAGAAUAAGCACCGGCUAACUACGUGCCAGCAGCCGCCGCCGUAA